AUGAACGCUGGCGGCGUGCUUAACACAUGCAAGUCGAGCGAGAAAGUCCCUUCGGGGAUGAGUACAGCGGCGGACGGGUGAGUAAUGCGUGAGAAUCUACCCUCUAAUGAAGGAUACCCCCGAGAAAUCGGGUUCAAUACUGCAUACGUCCCUUCGGGGAGAAAGGUGGCUUAAUUGCUGCCGUUAGAGGAUGAGCUUGCGUGCUAUUAGCUAGUUGGUGGGGUAAAGGCCUACCAAGGCAAUGAUGGCUAGCCGGCCUGAGAGGGUGUACGGCCACACUGGAACUUAGACACGGUCCAGACUCCUACGGGAGGCAGCAGUGGGGAAUAUUGCGCAAUGGGCGAAAGCCUGACGCAGCGACGCCGCGUGGAGGAUGAAGGUCUUCGGAUUGUAAACUUCUGUUAAGUGGGAAAAAAGACUCGUUUUUAAUACAAGGAGUUAAUGACGGUACCGUAAGAAUAAGCACCGGCUAACUACGU
rnacentral:rRNA from 1 species